UCGGGAAUUUUGGGCAAUGGGCGAAAGCCUGACCCAGCAACGCCGCGUGAAGGAUGAAGUAUUUCGGUAUGUAAACUUCGUAAGAAUAGGAAGAAUAAAUGACGGUACUAUUUGUAAGGUCCGGCUAACUACGUGCCAGCAGCCGCGGUAAUACGUAGGGACCAAGCGUUGUUCGGAUUUACUGGGCGUAAAGGGCGCGUAGGCGGCAUGACAAGUCACUUGUGAAAUCUCUGGGCUUAACCCAGAACGGCCAAGUGAUACUGUCGCGCUAGAGUGCAGAAGGGGCAAUCGGAAUUCUUGGUGUAGCGGUGAAAUGCGUAGAUAUCAAGAGGAACACCUGAGGUGAAGACGGGUUGCUGGGCUGACACUGACGCUGAGGCGCGAAAGCCAGGGGGAG
rnacentral:rRNA from 1 species